UCAGGCCAAUAUAUCAAUAACAGGAGACCUAUAUUGGCUGGAAGUGGUACAUCUAGGACUCCAGUUGAAGAGCAUAUUGGCCUGA